rnacentral:lncRNA from 10 species
AUGACUCUUAAUGAGGAUGCUGCCUUCAAGCAUCUGUUUAACAAAGCACAUCUUGCACCGCCCUUAAUCCAUUUAACCCUGAGUGGACACAGCACAUGUUUCAGAGAGCACGGGGUUGGGGGUAAGGCUAUAGAUCAACAGCAUCCCAAGGCAGAAGAACCUCUCCCAGUACAGAACAAAAUGGAGUCUCCCAUGUCCACCUCUUUCCACACAGACACAGUAACAAUCUGAUCUCUCUUUCUUUUCCCCACAUUUCCCCCUUUUCUAUUCGACAAAACCGCCAUCGUCAUCAUGGCCCGUUCUCAAUGAGCUGUUGGGUACACCUCCCAGACGGGGUGACGGCCGGGCAGAGGGGCUCCUCACUUCCCAGACGGGCCGGGCAGAGGCGCCCCCCACCUCCCGAACGGGGCGGCUGGCGGGGGCUGCCCCCCACCUCCUGGACGGGGCGGCUGCCGGGCGGAGACGCUCCUCACUUCCCAGACGGGGCGGCUGCCGGGCGGAGGGGCUCCUCACUUCUCAGACAGGGCGGCCCGGCAGAGACGCCCCUCACCUCCCAGACGGGGUGGCGGUCGGGCAGAGACACUCC